CCUACGGGUGGCAGCAGUGGGGAAUAUUGGACAAUGGGCGAAAGCCUGAUCCAGCCAUGCCGCGUGUGUGAAGACGGCCUUCGGGUUGUAAAGCACUUUCAGUGGGGAAGAAAGCCUUGGGGCUAAUACCCUCGAGGAAGGACAUCACCCACAGAAGAAGCACCGGCUAACUCCGUGCCAGCAGCCGCGGUAAUACGGAGGGUGCGAGCGUUAAUCGGAAUUACUGGGCGUAAAGCGCGCGUAGGCGGUCUGAUAAGCCGGUUGUGAAAGCCCCGGGCUCAACCUGGGAACGGCAUCCGGAACUGUCAGGCUAGAGUGCAGGAGAGGAAGGUAGAAUUCCCGGUGUAGCGGUGAAAUGCGUAGAGAUCGGGAGGAAUACCAGUGGCGAAGGCGGCCUUCUGGACUGACACUGACGCUGAGGUGCGAAAGCGUGGGUAGCAAACAGGAUUAGAUACCCCAGUAGUC
rnacentral:rRNA from 1 species